ensembl:lncRNA
GUGAGUGAUUUUAUUUUAUUUUUUUGGGCUCCAAAAUCACUGCAGAUGGUGACUGCAGCCAUGAAAUUGAAAGAUGCUUGCUCCUUGGAAGAAAAGCUAUGAUCAACCUAAAUAGCAUAUUAAAAAGCAGAGACAUUACUUUGCCGACAAAGUUCUAUCUAGUCAAAGCUAUGGUUUUCCAGUAGUCAUGUAUGGCUGUGAGAAUUGGACUAUAAAGAAAGCUGAGCCCCAGAGAAUUGAUGCUUUUGAAUUGCGGUGUUGGAGAAGACUCUUCAGCUUCCCUUGGUCUGCAAGGAGAUUAAACCAGCCCAUCCUAAAGGAAAUUAGUCCUGAAUAUUCAUUGGAAGGACUGAUGCUGAAACUGGAACUCCAAUACUUUGGCCACCUGAUGCCAACUGACUCAUUAGAAAAGACCCUGAUGCUGGGAAAGAUUGAAGGCAGGAGGAGAAGGGGACAACAGAGGAGACAUAAAUAGUUAACAUGGAGCUCACUCAUGACGGAGGAUGAAUGGACUAGUGUUUCCAAAGCAUUUGGCUGUCGUUCUGCAAAGAGUGCUGUUAGAUGCAAGAACACCAUUGUUGGAAAUUCAAAAAAUGAUGGAUGGUGGCAAAUCUCUUUAAAAAACUCGCAUCAGCUCUCAUCCACAUUCUUCUGAUGCACCGACCCUGUGCUUUGAUUCUGGGAUAAAC